rnacentral:rRNA from 1 species
CAGCCGCCGCGGGAAUACGUAGGUCCCGAGCGUUGUCCGGAUUUACUGGGCGUAAAGCGAGCGCAGGCGGUUAGAUAAGUCUGAAGUUAAAGACUGUGGCUUAACCAUAGUACGCUUUGGAAACUGUUUAACUUGAGUGCAAGAGGGGAGAGUGGAAUUCCAUGUGUAGCGGUGAAAUGCGUAGAUAUAUGGAGGAACACCGGUGGCGAAAGCGGCUCUCUGGCUUGUAACUGACGCUGAGGCUCGAAAGCGUGGGGAGCAAACAGGAUUAGAUACCCCCGUAGUCCCUGUCUCUUAUACA